UAGGGAAUCUUCGGCAAUGGACGAAAGUCUGACCGAGCAACGCCGCGUGAGUGAAGAAGGUUUUCGGAUCGUAAAACUCUGUUGUUAGAGAAGAACAAGGACGUUAGUACCUGAACGUCCCCUGACGGUAUCUAACCAGAAAGCCACGGCUAACUACGUGCCAGCAGCCGCGGUAAUACGUAGGUGGCAAGCGUUGUCCGGAUUUAUUGGGCGUAAAGCGCGCGCAGGCGGUUUCUUAAGUCUGAUGUGAAAGCCCCCGGCUCAACCGGGGAGGGGCAUUGGAAACUGGGAGACUUGAGUGCAGAAGAGGAGAGUGGAAUUCCAUGUGUAGCGGUGAAAUGCGUAGAUAGAUGGAGGAACACCAGUGGCGAAGGCGGCUCUCUGGUGUGUAACUGACGCUGAGGCUAGAAAGCGUGGGGAGCAAACAGG
rnacentral:rRNA from 1 species